rnacentral:rRNA from 1 species
UACGUAGGGUGCAAGCGUUAAUCGGAAUUACUGGGCGUAAAGCGUGCGCAGGCGGUGAUGUAAGACAGAUGUGAAAUCCCCGGGCUCAACCUGGGAACUGCAUUUGUGACUGCAUCGCUGGAGUGCGGCAGAGGGGGAUGGGAUUCCGCGUGUAGCAGUGAAAUGCGUAGAUAUGCGGAGGAACACCGAUGGCGAAGGCAAUCCCCUGGGCCUGCACUGACGCUCAUGCACGAAAGCGUGGGGAGCAAACAGG